GUGACCACGUGGUUUCCUUUCCAGCAGCCCCAGCAGAACUGUACCUCCCUCCGGAUCUAUGCCUGCAGCCCCACAGGCCUCUCCAAUGCACAGAGCAGUGUAAGGAGCUACUGGUGACCCAUGCGGGUGGGAAGAAGAGGACCUGGGACUUUCUCCUGCCCCUUGGCUCUCACUUGAACUCCAGAGGGCCCCAGAUACUCCAGUUUUAAAUGAAGAGCAUCCUCUGAGCCGUGGGUGUCACCGUCCUCACAGGUGGUGUAGUCGGAGAGCACACACCCUGCCCACAGUAGCAGCUGGUGAUGGGAGUGGGAGAAGUGGGCAAAGCGGGCAGGGGGGCACGGUGUGAGGCCGUGGGAGGGGGACUGUGGCAAGCUGUAGUGGAGGUGGCGGUGACUGCUCCUUCUGGCCCACCAGUGCCUUAUGGGCCAAAAUGGCCAGGCCUGAGCUUUUCAAGACGGAGAAAGUAAUCCAGCCUUUUGGGUGGAAUCUCCCAAUUUUAAAAUAUGCUGUGGGGGCUUCCCUGGUGGCCCAGAUGGUAAAGAAUCUGCCUGCAAUGUGGGAAAACUGGGCUCGAUCCCUGAGUUGGGAAGAUCCCUUGGAGGAGGGCAUGACAACCCACUCCAGUACUCUUCCCUGGAAAAUCCCCGUGGACAGAGAAGCCUGGUGGGCUACAGUCCACGGGGUCGUAAAGAGUCGGACGUGACAGAGUGAUUCAGCCCGCAGGUUGGCAGCUCACAAACCCCUUUCCUAGGUGCAGUGUUAGAGAUGCUCCGGUACUCAGAGCCUCGGGAGAAAGAAACAUCCCAUCCCUUCCCCCAAGACCCUUUUCCUCCACCUUCUCCAGAGUCAGUGAGUGAGGAACGGGUGAGGGAUGGGUGCUGGAGGAUGCCCAGCCCCUGCCAGAUCCCUGGGCCCUGCAUCAGGCUGUCCCAUGAGGCAGAGGGCUCAGGCAGGCAAUCUGCAGGCCACUGAGAUCUGACUGACCUGGUGCCUGGCCAAAAGCUGGAGGUUGUCACUUCCAGCUCGGCCAGGGAAAGCCCAGUGAACCAGUAAAGGAGAAUUUUUCUGCAGUGCUGGAGUGUGAAAAUGGCUACAGGAGGAGGAAGUGCCAGCUUCCACCCAGUUCUUCCUCCAUCACCCUCACGAACUUCUUGGCAAGGGAAUACCCAUCACUGGACCUUGUCGCCCCACUACAGUGCUCUGGGAGUCCUGGGGUGCUUGCCCCUCUCUCCUCCAGCACUUGCCCACUUUGCCCUUCUGGCAGCUGAUGGUGGUUUCAGAAACAAUGAGGCCAGAAUCCCUAAAGCGCGAUCUGCUUACCACCCCCCACCCGCACCCCCUACCUCCAGCCUAGAGCACUUGAGAUGACCAACUGCAGCAUGGAUGUCAAGGCAGGCCUGGAGCUCAGGAGGAGGGUACAGAGAGAAACCUGCUUUACCCAUUGGUGAACUUGACAUCAUGGUCUUGGACACGCACUGUGGAAAGAUGGGCUUGUACAUUCAAAAUGCAGUAAGCAGUGAGUUCCAGGAGAUGGUGAAGCUCCGGGAAUAGUGAAGGACAGGGAAGCCUGGCAUGCUGCAGUCCAUGGGGUCACAUAGAGGUGGAAAGGACUGAGUAACUGAACAACAAUAGCAACAAAGCAGUGAGCUCAAGGUCUGACCCAGAUAGCCCUCACAUUCUGCUGAUGGGAAUGAGGGAAGACACCCAGAUGCACAGCCUCUGUAGCUGGAGACCAGACAAUGUUUCAUAGCAUCCUUCAUGACGGAGACCUUGAGGGUGGUUAUGUCCAAGGGCUGGUGAGUUGUCCGAGGAUGAGCCUCAAGGCCCAUGGCAGCAAGGAGAGCACUUCCUAUACAGCCUCGAAGUCUUCAGUAUGUUUGCAGGCACUUGGAUGGAGCUGUAGGUGGAAGACUCCUCGUUUGCAGACCAUCAAAUCUGAGAAGAGUAGGAAAUGCACUGUGUGAUAAAAGCUAACAGGUUUGCUCAUGCUGGGUGAAUAGGGCCCAUUUCUGAGAUGAGUCUGAAGACGGUUCAAUAUCACACUCUGCUUAUGGGGUCCAAGACAUCACCUGCCUCAGCAUGUGUGGGGGAAAAAAAAACACGGAAGGAUCUGGGGUAUUCAGCAUAUUGCCAAUCAACUGUGUGGUUAAUCUGAACAAAACAGUGAUGUGAUCUUCAGCUACAUUGAAGAAGUUCUUAUUUUCCAAGAUUUCUUUGUCCUAUGAAUCCCAUUAAGGGAUUUCUUAUGGGUCCACUGACCACUCAAAUCAAAAACUUCUGGGGCUUGUUAAAAAUUCAGAUUUGGGGGCCCACCUAGAUUGUUCAUUCAGGCUGUAUAGGGAGGAAGCCCCAGAAGAUGUAUUUUCAACCUCUUCCCAAGUGAUUUUUUGAGAACAUUUUCAACUCUGCCUACCUCUUUAGCUA